AGAUGGCAGCUGAAAGAAGAAAACAGCUGAUGUCUUUGCUGACACCUUUUAGUUGAGAAAUGGAGAAUUGCCUGAGAAAUGGCUUUGAAGAAGCUGUUCAAACCAGCAACAAGUGUCCUCAACUGGCCUAGAAGGCUAUGACCUCAUUGCUGGGAGUGUGAUGAUGAAGAUGCCCGGCAGUAUGCCCUACCUCUCUGGGACAUGAGGUGGAGGAGCAGAGCAAAGCAGCAGCCUGCAGGGUUCCUUCUACAGCCUCCUCCCCUCAGCUCUCUGCAUUGAAGCAUGUUUCUAAUGCAGCGUGAGCCUCUCUGUCCCAGACUUGAGCAGAGAUUCAAUAAAAAAGGUCAUGCUGCUGAUGGAACAGAAACAUGAGACUGAGCUUGUGACAGUGGUUUCUAAUGCAGCGUGAGCCUCUGUCCCAGACUUGAGCAGAUAUUCAAUAACAAAGAUUGCUGAAUCAUGCUGGAGAUAUCAUCCCAGGAGAACUGUCAGCCUGCUUCACUAUUGCUGAAUCAUGCUGGAGAUAUCAUCCCAGGAAACUGUCAGCCUGCUUCACUAAGCAGCAGAUCUGAGACCAGCUGUCAACACUGAUCUAUCACUUCCUCUGUAAUACGUCACAUCUACAAAAACGGAUGUGUUCACUGCUUCACAUUUUGUAUUGUUUUUCCUACUGUGUGCAAUAAAAAAAAAUGUAUUUCCAUACCUC